GACGAACGCUGGCGGCGUGCCUAAUACAUGCAAGUAGAACGCUGAAGGAGGAGCUUGCUUCUCUGGAUGAGUUGCGAACGGGUGAGUAACGCGUAGGUAACCUGCCUGGUAGCGGGGGAUAACUAUCGGAAACGAUAGCUAAUACCGCAUAAUAGUAGAUGUUGCAUGACAUUUGCUUAAAAGGUGCAAUUGCAUCACUACCAGAUGGACCUGCGUUGUAUUAGCUAGUUGGUGAGGUAACGGCUCACCAAGGCGACGAUACAUAGCCGACCUGAGAGGGUGAUCGGCCACACUGGGACUGAGACACGGCCCAGACUCCUACGGGAGGCAGCAGUAGGGAAUCUUCGGCAAUGGACGGAAGUCUGACCGAGCAACGCCGCGUGAGUGAAGAAGGUUUUCGGAUCGUAAAGCUCUGUUGUAAGAGAAGAACGAGUGUGAGAGUGGAAAGUUCACACUGUGACGGUAUCUUACCAGAAAGGGACGGCUAACUACGUG
rnacentral:rRNA from 1 species